GACGAACGCUGGCGGCGUGCUUAACACAUGCAAGUCGAACGGAAAGGCCCUGCUUUUGUGGGGUGCUCGAGUGGCGAACGGGUGAGUAACACGUGAGUAACCUUCCCUUGACUUUGGGAUAACUUCAGGAAACUGGGGCUAAUACCGGAUAGGAGCUCCUGCUGCAUCGUGGGGGUUGGACCGUUUCGGCGGUUGGGGAUGGACUCGCGGCUUAUCAGCUCGUUGGUGGGGUACUGGCUUACCAAGGCUUUGACGGGUAGCCGGCCUGAGUGGGUGACCGGCCCCAUUGGGGCUGCGGUGCGGCCCAAGCUCCUCCGGGAGGGAGGAGGGGGGGAUAAUGGAACAUGGGCGGGAGCCUGAUGCAGCAACGCCGCGUGCGGGAUGACGGGCUUCGGGUUGGAAACCGCUUUCCCCCGUGAAGGAACGGGGGUGACGGUAAUGGGUAAAGGAAGCCCGGCUAACUUCGUG
rnacentral:rRNA from 1 species